rnacentral:lncRNA from 1 species
GGAUUUGUAAAGAGAAAAGGCCAAUGAAAGAGAUAGGCUAUAUCAAUUGAUAUAUGCUGUAUUGCAUGUAUUGCAUGUAUAUCCUAUCAAAACCGAGCUGAAACAACCCCUUCAUCAUCUUCUCUUUGAGUCUCCUCUGGAGUCAUGUUGGGCAAGCCAUCAUCAUUCCUUUCUUAAUGGCUAAUACAGGCAGAGAAUGCCACACCUCUCUGCCUGACAGACUAGUAUUAGGUGAGGCACUGAGGGUGGUCACUGCCAGGGUUCCCUCUGAUAUAGGAGACACCAAAAACAAGAGGUAGUCCUAGCAGUAGGGUCACUCUACCUUAUGUAACAUGUUAGGCUCCUCAUCGACCAUGUUGUCUGAUGAAAAGGCAAACAAGCAAAAGGGCGGAUUGAGAGGCAUGAUCUAAAAUCAAAAUGGAAAAGCAGAAAAGACCUUUACUUACUGAAUAGUAAAUGCUUAUCUAUCAUAUAAAUACAUUGGAACCCUAUCCUAUUUUAAGCGUCA